rnacentral:misc_RNA from 1 species
CAUGACACAACUUUGAACAUGGCGAUGCCCUGUUGAUUAUCUACAAGCUACAUUGUUGUCAUAUAGUUUGUGGUUUGAAAACGCAAAACCAAUUCAUCAGUGACAAUGUCAACGUCAAAAUCGAAGAAGCCUAAUUAUUUAGCGCAACCAGGAGGUAGCGGUCAAGGUGCCAGCACUGCCUCCAGGAAAGGAAACCUUGCUGGCUCUGUAUCAAAGAGCAAGUAUGGUGGAAAUACUGGAGUAUACGGUAGCACAAGAUCACGGUCAAAUAUCUUGUCAUCAGCAAGUCGAAAAAGUAUGGCCGCAAGGGAAGCUGAAAAAGCUUCAAUGGCAGGGAAACCUCCUGUCCAGGUGAUUGAUGAAGGUGGUAAUGAUGUGACACCUAUUCCACUGUUAAGCCAUGACCACACGACUGUGAAGAAAAACCAGAGUAACAUUUUAGAUAGCUCCGUUGGAACACCAACAGAUCUGAUGUCUCAAGCUUCCAUUUACAACACAGCCAAUGUGACUGCCAGUACAUUUGGUGGAGGCCCUUUUACAAGAUCUGUAUUUAGCCAGUCACAGGGCACGGGGACAGACUCCAUGAUGGGUGGGGAUGAUGAGAUCACAGAGCCUUCCUCAGAACAGACAGCCUGGGCAGACAUUCGACACAAACGCGAAGAGGUAAAGGAAACAUUGACAGAAGCUGACCUUGAGAAAGAGGUUGACCUCACCUUGACGGAGACUGAGACAAUAUGGCUGCUGGACCUUCCCACAAUCUGUGUCUCCACAGAGUCAGACGAGGCAGCAGGCAUCAAAAAGAGAACUGAAACGUACCAAGAGUUGAUCAGGAGCAGAGUGGGCAAUGACAGAUACAUGGAGAGAGGCAUGAACACAUUCAAUGAGCCACCCAAGUUUAAAACCAUCCAGACCAACAAAAUUGCCUAUAAUGACGUUGGUAUAACAGCCACCACGUGGGACAUGUAUGACACGUAUGACGAGCAGGAUAAAGAAAACAAAGGUUUACCCGACAAAGAGAAGAACGAUGAUGGCGGUGAGGAGGAGGGUACAAUCAGUCGGCCUACGAGUCCCAAGGACGGAGACAGUAAAGAGGAGACCGGCUCACAGACGACCAGCCAGGACAAACCUGUACUUACACGUGAAGGUAGCACCGUGAAAAUAGGUUCGGCCACAGCACAAUCAAUACAAUCAAGGGCAGAGAGCCGUGCCACCAUGUCAUCAAUGGCGGGGUCGGAGAGUAUUUUCGCCAGCAGAGAAACCGGAGUGUCCUCCAUGCCAACAGACCUUAUAGCACUUGAGGAAGACAAAAUCUUAAAGGCUGAAAAUUUCAAGAGAGAUUUAUUCAUCAUGGAGAGAGUGAUAAACCUGAACACCUACCAGCCAAAACAAGCUAGUUACAGAGGGUUUGAUAUUGUACCAGAUAUUGACAGCACCAGUGAAACUGCUAACCCUACCCAGCAGAUAAGUGUGGCCGAUAUGGGACCAAAUGUGGACAGACUAUGGGCCUAUUCCUGUCCCAUGACCAAGGGACGCAACGUCAGCUGUAUGACUUGGAACAAACUCAAUCCAGAUUUAAUCGCCAUUGGUUAUGGACAAUUUGAGUUCUCCAAUCAAAAAUCUGGCCUGAUCUGUUGUUGGUCACUCAAGAAUCCAGAGUUUCCAGAACGUGUCUAUACUUGUAAAGAAGGAGUGACUGCAAUUGACUUCUCACGGUCAAAUCCUAACUUAUUAGCGGUUGGUUUGUAUGAUGGAGGGGUCGCCAUAUACAACGUGAAGAGCACACAAGAUGAGCCCAUUGUUGAUAGCUUCCACCUCGCGGGGAAGCACACAGCACCUGUAUGGCACAUUCGAUGGAUAGAGAAGGAGCGAGGGUCAGGUGACGAGCGCACAGAGGUACUCGUUUCUAUCUCCACGGAUGGGAGAGUGACACAGUGGUCCAUCAGAAAAGGAUUCGAAAGCUACGAUUUAAUGAGGCUGAAGAGAAUGCCGACCAGGAUGGGAGGUAAAAAAGAGAAGAAGGGCGAGGCUUUCAUUUCCAGACAUGCCGGAGGUCUGUGUUUUGACUUCCAUAGCAGAGAUGCUAACAUUUACCUAGCUGGAACAGAAGAAGGCCAUAUUCACAAGUGUUCAUGUUCCUACAACGAGCAAUAUCUGGACAGCUAUACCGGUCACAAUGGUCCAGUUUACAAAAUGGAGUGGUCUCCCUUCGUCAACGAUAUUUUCCUCAGUUGCAGUGCAGAUUGGAGUAUUCGGUUAUGGCACCAAGAGAGAAAUAAACCUAUUCUUAGCUUCUUUUCCCUAAAUAAAUCAGUGUAUGACGUGACAUGGUCCCCGCGAUCUUCAACUGUGUUUGCCUGCGUCAACGAGGGGCGCGUCGAGGUGUGGGACCUCAGCCUCAGCACACUGGACCCGCAGAUCGUCAGUAACCCAUCCUCUGGGGCCAAACAGACUGCAGUGACAUUUGCCAAAAAUUCUGAGUGUAUCCUGGUGGGUGACAGUGAGGGACAGGUGACAGUGUAUGAGCUGAGAUGUAUGCCUGAACCUCCAGAGAACCAGGCCGAGGCACUUAACAAUGUCAUCAAGGCGUCACUGGCCAGUCAACUUCAGUCGGAAACAGCAGAGGCAAAAGAGGACGAGGAAGGAGCAGAUGGAGAUGAUUGAUCUUUGUUGUCCAGGUGAUCUGUGAUUGGUAGAAACAGACAGUUUGUCAUCUUAUUAGGACAUGUGACCAGCCAGUCAAUGAAAGAUAGGGCUUGAGAAGGCAAGAUACACUAAAAAGCAGUUGAAACCACACAAGGGAACAUUCCUAACUUAUAUGGAUGCUGCUUUGCUUUUAGGAUCAUCAGAGUUAAUAUUUUAAUAAAACUGUGAUAUUUGUACGGCACAUAUCAUAUACAUCCUAUUUUCUGUGAUAGCUUAAAGAUUGAAUUACCAGUACUCAAAACAUAUUCUCAUUAUUAAAAAAAAACAAUAAAAAAAUUGCCUACCAGUCUUGAAGGUAGGAAUAG